ACGCUGGCGGCAGGCCUAACACAUGCAAGUCGAACGGCAGCACAGAGGAGCUUGCUCCUUGGGUGGCGAGUGGCGGACGGGUGAGGAAUACGUCGGAAUCUGCCUAUUUGUGGGGGAUAACGUAGGGAAACUUACGCUAAUACCGCAUACGACCUACGGGUGAAAGUGGGGGACCUUCGGGCCUCACGCAGAUAGAUGAGCCGACGUCGGAUUAGCUAGUUGGCGGGGUAAAGGCCCACCAAGGCGACGAUCCGUAGCUGGUCUGAGAGGAUGAUCAGCCACACUGGAACUGAGACACGGUCCAGACUCCUACGGGAGGCAGCAGUGGGGAAUAUUGGACAAUGGGCGCAAGCCUGAUCCAGCCAUGCCGCGUGUGUGAAGAAGGCCUUCGGGUUGUAAAGCACUUUUGUCCGGAAAGAAAAGCUUAGGGUUAAUAACCCUGAGUCAUGACGGUACCGGAAGAAUAAGCACCGGCUAACUUCGUGCCAGCAGCCGCGGUAAUACGAAGGGUGCAAGCGUUACUCGGAAUUACUGGGCGUAAAGCGUGCGUAGGUGGUUUGUUAAGUCUGAUGUGAAAGCCCUGGGCUCAACCUGGGAAUGGCAUUGGAAACUGGCUUACUAGAGUGCGGUAGAGGGUAGUGGAAUUCCCGGUGUAGCAGUGAAAUGCGUAGAUAUCGGGAGGAACAUCUGUGGCGAAGGCGACUACCUGGACCAGCACUGACACUGAGGCACGAAAGCGUGGGGAGCAAACAGGAUUAGAUAUCCUGGUAGUCCACGCCCUAAACGAUGCGAACUGGAUGUUGGGGGCAACUUGGCCCUCAGUAUCGAAGCUAACGCGUUAAGUUCGCCGCCUGGGAAGUACGGUCGCAAGACUGAAACUCA
rnacentral:rRNA from 1 species